ACUCCUAAAGUGUGAGUGGGAAGAAAACUCAGUUUUGCACUGCCUUGUAUAGCUUGAUAGAGCUGACAUUUUUAGCACUUACUUCAAAGACCUUUCUAAAUCUCUGCACUUCACACCAGCUGCAGACAUAACUGAGCAGAGCUGAACAGAGCUGGAAAUUAUUUCAGUGAUGACAAUUGCCUUACAAUCAAGUCAGUUUUCCUUCAGUUACUUAAAUGUCUCCUCCAAUUUUAAACUUCUGUGGGAAUUAGAGGAAAUCUUAGGUUUAUAAUGUGAUUCUAAUCUAGAACCUUCCAUUUGGCAGUUUCUCCUCCAUGGAAGAUUUCCAACCGCAAGGCCAAAUUCUUCCAUGAUACAGAUCCACUGAGGCUACUGCAAUUAAAGCAGGAAUGAAUCUGGUGCAUUAGAGAAGCUCUGAAAACAGGAUGGUGUUUGACCUCAGCUGGCAACCAAGUCCCACAAAGCCACUCAUUGCCUUCCCAUGCAUCAGAAUGGAGAAUAUAAUCAGAAGAGCAAAAAUUGCAAAGUGAAGAAAACAAGGAAUUCAUUCAUCACUUUUCACAGACAGGCACUAGUUCAGCCCAGGAAAGCAGGGCUCCAUCACACCUAAUACUGACUGACAACAACAAAUACCAUGACUCUGAACAGCCUCCUGGUUUAUAUACUGAGCACGGUGCCAGAUGGCCUGGAAUAUCUCUUCAGUCAAUUCUGGAAUAUCCUCUUGGUCAGUAUUCCUAGCUCUGUCCUCUUUUGCCAGUGGGCUGGUGUGAGAAUCUGAAAGGUCCCUGAUUUAGUGUAAACACCAUUUACAAACAACUAACACAUGAAUGUGUUUUCGUUAUUCUUGUCCCAAACCAAACCAGCACUCUACCAGCAACUAGGAAGAAAAGUAACUCUAUGCCAUCCAAAAUCAGGACAGAUAUUUCAAUCUCCUACAUGUGAUUGAAGAUAAAAUUUGCUGUGAUAUUGUCACACCUAUUUCUGUCUUCAUCUCAAGAGAAAUAUAGUUCUGAAUGUCCUCCUCUGCUCAGCUGUUUGUCUAAUGCAGAUUGGUGUCCACAAGGCUCACCAAUCUGAGAACAAGUAAGCAGGUCAAUAACUCCUUUGUAAAAAAAGAUAUUUUCAUUCAAUAUGUUAUAGUACUUUCACAGAUCUCAGAAUGAGAUCUUGGAUCAAAAUUAUUCCUUUAAUAUAUUUGUCCCUCUUCAUCUCCAUGUCAGACUAGUGGCUCUUUAAAACUGAUGGAAUAGACCCAGAUCAGUUGUCUUGCAAAGAUGAAGAUCUAAUAAUUCUGUGACACUUGGAUCAGGAUAGACUGAACCCUGGGUACAUCUCUGACUGCAGCAUGGAUUUGACAUACCUGCCACGCUGCAUCAAGCCAAUUCUGACUUUAAGAGCCUUUUGUGAAGCAGAAUGACUCCAAUUCAUAUAGCACAGACUUGUUUAAUAAAUCACAACCAUUCAUACUUCUGGGAGAUGUCAAGGUGCAGCAAAUAAAUGUUAACAAUAUUAGGGUUUUUACAACAGAAUCCUAAGUACCUGCAACACAGUUUUCUGCAAAUACUGCAUGAGACAAGAGCAUGAUGGAUGGGAAAUCUUGAUGUUUUCAACCACAAAUUAAAGUACUGCUCCAGCAGACUAUGACUCUUUGGGGUGGGGGAAAAAAGGCUGGUAAGUGUUAGGACAGGCAUCAAACCUGGAAUUUCUCACAGGGUCAUGGUUCACAAGGUUCCUUCACUUCCAGAACACUUUGAAUUGAAGCAUGGUAUCUUAUGGGACCACAAAGGGGAAAGCAUCACUUGCAAAAAGCCUUGGGGCUCUCCUAUUUUUGCACUAGGCUGAAUUCAACUCUCCUGCCUCCCUUUGGAGACAUUCCAGCAAAGACCACAUUUGUGACCCCCAGCAUGGAGAUGGAGAUAAUGUUUAAAUGGGACCCAGCAGGCUGCUGUGCAGUUUUGUUUUCAUAUUCACAGUGAUCAGGGCACAGUGACAGGGCAUGCAAGAGGCACUGAGUCACUGCAUGCAGGGCCACAAAGAGCAGCUGGCUCAGGGGGACGUCACAGCCUCAUCCCACAUAACUCCAUGGGCCAGGAAAUGCUUUCUGAUGUGCCCAAAGACAAUGACGUGCCACAGGAAGAAAAAAGGAGGAAGUGAGAGCAUUAUCUGCCUCCCAGAUUCCUGGACUUUUGUCAAUAAAGUUCCCAGAAGACAAUGAUGAUGAUGAUGACCCAGGCUACAAAAAAAAAAAAAAAAAAAAAAAAAAAAAAAAAAAAAAAGUAAAUUUUGCUUCUGCAAAAAUUCUUCCUAAUUAGGAGCAAAAAUUCCUUUGGACCCCAUAUCUGAUAAUUAUUUUAACACAUUGAGCUGGAUAAGCAGCUGAACAUCUGUACAGUUGAAUGCUGUAGAAGUUUUUAAUGUCACUAAGUUUAAAGUAGAAUGAAGUUCUAAAAAUGCUUGUAGUUUUGAAAUUAUUUUAAAUUAUUGAAGUUUUUAAUUAUAUAGAAUUAGCAUAUCUCAUCUUUAAAUUUGCCUCAUCAAAUUUAACCAAGCAAAAUCAUUCAGUGUCUUAUAGAAUUUUACUUAAAUCAUUCAUUGCUCUGUUGGAACCUUCCAUUUUAGUUAAUUUCAAUGCUGGUGACUAGAAAAGUCUGAACUAUUGCAAGGUAAUUUUUAUCAGUAUUUUCUAAGCAGUAUUAUUAUUAUCUGAGUUUUUUCUAGAAAAAUACUUUAAAGAAGUCAAGCUACAGUUUUAUCACUGACUUUGAUGAAUCAAACACUUUGAUGAAUCUUUACCAUACUUAUUAAAAAAACACUUUUUUUUUCUCCCUGCUUGUGGUAUAGGAAGUGCAACCCAAAGUUUAAUGUCAAUGUCUUUCUCCUAGGAGCAGCUUGUUCCAGCAAGCGUGAAAUGAAACAUGGUUCAAAUGUCACAACCAAACAGCAAACCAACUACCUACAUCACAAGUAGUAUUUCUUUGGGUCCAAGUCAUCUCAUGCUAAAGACAGCAUUUGUAUGAUCUCAAAUCUAGAAAUAAAUCCAAAAAAGCACAAAAAAAAACCCACCAAAAAACCAAACAAAAACAAAACAAAACAAAAAAAAGUGUCUCAAUUAUACAGAGCUUUUGAGUUUCUGCUAGCAUCGCUGGAAUUCUGUGAAAUUUAUGUGAAAUGCUUACACACUUGUUUGGUUGUUCCUCCUUUAUGUAAUUUAUAGGUUUUUGAGGAUUCUUUAGGAAAUGAACAUUUGACUCCUAGAAAAAUGUGGUUUCUAAAGAAGGGAGAUGUUUUGCUGUGCACUGCACCAGCUACAAACGUAGGCACAGACCCCAUGGAAGGGCUGUAAGGUGCACCUCUGCUGCUGUGUUCAGCUGUGCCCUGUCUCCAUGGGAACAUUUCAGCAGAGUGGUACCUGCUGGUGACCGAACAAAGAUUUCCCUAUUGCUCUGCAGAAAAGACAAAAUGUAAACUGCAGUGAAUACAGCAUCUUUCUUUGACCCUGAAUCUGUAAGCAUUGGCAGGCCAAGCCAUUACAUCGUUCCUUUACUUUUUAGUUUUCUCCCUGAAAAGGAAGCAGUAAAUGGGGAAGAAAGGGAAUGGGGUAGUAUUUUAACAAUAAGAAAUCUAUUAACAGCAAGAUGGAAAAUUUUGAAGUGAAAGACACAGCUCUUCCUUACAAAUGAAGGAAAGAUCUCAAAUCAAAGCCGCUCAUAGUUGAAAGGUGCUGUAAUUGCAGUGGUGUGCUUGCUGAAAUUAAGACUGUAAGAAAAAGAAAUAAAAGUAGUGAAUAUAUCAUUAUAUGAAAGAAUAACAUCCACUUUCAUUUCAGCUAUUUUGCACUGAGUUGUAUAGCCAAAAGAAGGUCUUUUCCCAACAUUGAAGGGACAGGAGUGGUCAGUGCUUUUGAGCAGAGUGCUCAGUUGGAGACUGAUGCUGAUAGCUCUAAUGCAUAAAGCUGCAUUAGAAUAGUAGGAAAAACAAUCUAUAUCAGAUCAGGAAAAAUAUAGGGAGAAAGAAACCAACCAAAAGGAUCUUGCUUUCUGUUCCAAGUUAGAAAAUAAAGAAAUCAGACUUAAACCAUCCUUACUUUAGCUUUUGGGGAAACUCCUUUAGGGACUUAUAAGUUUGAAUGAGAUGAAACUAAUUAAUUACUGUGAUUUUUCAUGCACUCCUCUCAAAGCCCAGUGCUCAUCACGUGAUUUGGAGCAUUAAUUCUCCUUUUCCCCCAUAGCUUAUAUUCAUAUAUGAAAAGCAUAUUCAGUCAAGAAAGGAAUUCAAAAUUUACACUGAUAUCUAAGACAGGACAGACAGGGCAAAAUAUCUCUACUUUCUUAGGUUCUGAGUAUCUUUUGAAUAAGGGAUAGUGAUCAAAUAAAAAUAUUCCAAACAGUCUCAUCCUUCUGUGUAGGAAGGAUAUCAACAUCAUCAGUAUUCUGACACAAUGCCAGUGCUAUGCUUACCUUAUGUUUUCACUGCACAAAAUAAACCUUGCUAAGUGGCAAGGACAAACCAUUAGUUUGAUUACUACUAAGAGUCUGCAACCUCUGCAUAUAAAAAACAUCCUGCAAUUAAAUUUGUCAAGCAUGACAGUACAUUUAAAAUAAUUAUCACACUGAUAUUGUCAGCUUUGUUUACCACAACAUUGAUGAUUAUGUUUUCUUCUAAUUAGAAUGGAAAUUUUAUUUAAAGUUCUCUGCUCAAAUGAUUUGGAGCAAAAGCUCAUGUAGAUUUCAGGUGAUAUUAGAUUGUUCUCAUCCACAAACUCAAAAUAUAGAGCUGAUAUUCUUUCUGAAAAACCCAUGUUUUGUUCUUAUUUCUUAGGAUGUCAGAAUAAUUUCAAACCUCCAGAACUAAAUUAUUAUCAUGGAUAUAGUGGUAACCAAAGCUGGAUAUGCCUGUGCUCCUUCCUGGGCAAGCAGGAGCUGGCUUUGAGCUGCACUGGGGGUGGUGGAACAGGCUGUGCUGCUGAAGGCUCCUCAGCUGCAAAUUCAUGCCACAGAUGCUGUGGCUGCCUCAAACCUAUGUCCACGUGUCCUGCAUCACCCCAGCAGCAGGGGUUUGUGGCAUCUGCUUGCAGAGGAGCAUGUGAAUGGAGCUGGGUGCAAUGGCACGGUCAGCUGCUUCUCACACCACACAGGAAAAUGAAACCCUUCAAAAUUCAAAUGCAAACCAUGUUUUCUUAGCAUCCCCACUUAGCUGGGAUCCCUUAGUGAUUUGGCUAAGGGUGGAAUUUAGUGAGGAGGCUCACAUUCAUCUGUUAUGAAAAAUUAGUUGUCAUGUUCAGCUUUUUAAUGUGAAAGGAUGAAAAUAUUUCAUAAUAUUAACAUAAGAUCUCAUAAUUAUAAUUAUAUAAUAAUAUAUCAUCAUAAUAAUAUAACAUAAAAUAGCUUCCAGGUGUGUUUAGCUGUAUCUCUGUUAGGAUGACAUUCCUUCAGGAAUGACUUUGUUGUGCUUCCUGACCUCACAGUGGAUUUGUUGCUGCCUUCAUGAUCUGGAAAAUAAAUUGCAUUAACUCCCCUGGGCAAGCAAGAGGGUCCCUAGUUUCUACCUUCUACAGACCAUGAAAGACAGAAAUUAAUUUUAAAAACCUGCUGCUUAAAGCAAUCUUGCAAACAAUGACAUGGCAUAACAAACUUAUUUCUAAGAGCAGGAGAACUGUGUUCAUUAAGAUUGCAUUUCUUUUUGUAGUUACAGUUGACAAUUAUUUGUUUCAUUGUAAUCUCCCGAAAAAAUUUGGUUUAAUUUUUAAAAAUGUUAUUUCUUCUUUUAUCACUAUAUGAAUAAUUUUAAAUCCUUAUAUUUUUUUAUAAUCCAAUGGAGAAUAAGUAAGGAAAAAGAGGAGUCUCCUGCUCCCACUUUUGGAAAGAAAGUGAAAAUAUUUGAUUUUAUUUCUGAAUUGCAAAAUUAUCUUCAAGGCAUUUAAAACACCAUUAAAAGAGGGAUAUACAGGCAGAGUACGUAUCCAAAGGAAGAAGGAAAAGACGUAUUUGAAUUUCUCUACUAUUCCAUGGUUAGUACUGAAAUUCAAAAAUAUUUUUUUUACUUUUAUUCAAGAUAGUUUUUCACAGACAGAAGAAAAUUUUCUUUACAAAUAUCUAUGUAUAUCAAAAUUUGAGACAUUUAAAUGCAGUAAUAUUUAAAAAUAAAAAAUACUUUUUUUUGUUUAUUUUUGAAAAAUAGAAGUCCUUUUGCAUUCCCCUUUUGAUAUUUUCCCUUUUUUUCACAGUAGAAUAGGGGAAGAAAGCAAGACAAAGUGGAGGAAAGAGUAAAAAACUUGAAAGCAAACUGGAAUUAGAAACUAAAAUUAUGGAAAAUUUAUGUUUAUUUGAAACUUCUAUAUGCUACUGAAUUUUAUUUUGACAAUUAAAUUACUCUGAAAGAAUUUAAUAUUUUCUUUCCAAAUAAGUCGAUUUUGAUAGAAAUGGUUCUUUGUAGAAAGAGGUAUCUUUUUAGGUAUUUUAAAAUCAAAAUUCUUUGUCAGUUUCUAAUUCUGCUGGUGUUUACCAAAACCUGAUAUAAGGAAAAAUAAUUUAAGUAAAAUUAAAAACUAUUGAGUAACCACUUUUUUCUAUAUAAAAAGCUUAUUCAUAUCUAUUCAGACUAUUUCGCCCCCUAAAUACACUAGUUAUUGUACCACUAAAAUAGAAAUAGACCACACCAUGCUGUCAUUAGAUAGAAUUUACAUAAAGCCAAUUAAGUCAAUAAGCCUUUGCUGAAAAUAUUUUUUUUUAAUUUUCCUUAUUUAUUUAGCUUUAAGAAGUACGCAUUUUUUAUAAGUCAUUCAUAUGGAGAACAGGAGACAUUUUAAAUGCUAUUCUUCUAAAGAAAAGCAAUUGACAAAAGACACUGAACUACUAAAUAUUUAAAUACUUUCCUGUAUUUAAAACAAGUAAACAAACAAAACAGAAACAAACCCCCAAAACUUUAAAAUAAUAAGUAAACUUAAACAUCUACAAAUAGCAUCUCCUGUGCUGCAGGUCAAACAGUAAAGGAAACCUUGAACUUCCAUCAAGUCACAAUAAUUUUUUUAAUUCAUAUUUUAACUUUUGAACAGGAAGGAAAACUGUCUUCAGGUUCAGAAAUAAGCAUGUGAACUGUCCCAAGCUUUCCUAAAUCCUUACAGAGGUGAGAGACGUAGAAUAUGAAUUUUCUAAGAUUUCUUAAAAAAAAAAAAACACAAAAAUUUGUUUAAAAGUAGCAGCCUUUCCAAAUUCUCUGUGCCAUGGAAAGACUGUUACCUUUUUUAUUUCUCUUAUUUCUUACCUUACUUUGCCAACAACUAGAAUAACUAAUAUUUCUGUGAUGAUACACUCUAAUUCCCAGUUCUCAGCUCUUUACCCCACCUGUGACACUUCCUUCCUUACUGAAUUCUAACGAGUCUUUCAUGAGUGCAGGAUGAGAUUCUUAUAUUUGGGACUCUAUUCCCUAGGUUUUGAAAACUAGAAACCAAAAAGCUUUUUUUUCAUUCUAUAAAAUCCAUUCUUAUUUAAUUUAAAUAACUAAUCUUAUGCCUGUAGCAUUUUUCAGCUCAAUGCAGAAAAAUCUUUAGAGGCAUAUUUUUUCUAAAGGAUUUCAUACUGAAGUGAUUCAUUUUCUGAUGAAAUGUUAUGAUAUUUUCCCAUGAAUUUUAUGUGACAUUGAUUUGAAAGCUAAAAUACAAUUAGUGCUCAAUGCAUUAAAUACUGGAUUCCAAUAUAUAUGCACACAUGAAGGUAUAGAUAGCCAGCAUCUAAUAUUUAUCUUAAUGGAGCCAACACUAAAGAUUUGAAGGUCUUUAGAAGGGCAGAGAAAGUUAUUUUCUGGCCCCUUACUGUAGAUAAGCUAUGACUGUGUUGUCCUGUAAAUAUACUUAGCCAUCUACAAUGAGCCCUGCUAUUAUUUUUCUGAUUUAUCUAACUCCUAGUGACAAACACUUUUUCAUAUGCAAGCAUUCUGCACGUACUAAUUUAACUGCUUGGUUAGAGUGUCAUCAUUAAUUUAUGAUCAAACUCUGAGAAAAGUGAUUUGGGAGAGAUGUACAGGACAUUUUUUGCUGAUGGGAAACUAGAACAUGUAUAAAUAUUGCAUAUGAUACUUUGAACAAUGUUGAAGUACUUAAAGCAGGUUUAAAACCUUUUUCUAAAAAUGUAUCAACUAGAAAAUAUUUAAUUUAUGCAUUGUGUUUCAAAGAUGCUGUGCCUGAGUUGUGAGAAAAAUGUUAGUUUAGAUAACCUUGUAGAACUCUAUAGAUUUUCAGGACAUCUUGAUUACAUAUCUUAGGCUUCUCUAGAGUUUUAAAUGUUUGGCCUCUGCAAUGGAAAGAUGUCCCUUUUUCCCAUAAUCCAUCCUUUGUCAUUGAACCAUUAGAAAAUCACAGAAAACCUCAGUGUUCAAAAAUUAUUUGGUAAUGGAGAUGGAAGUUGCUGUCUACUAGAACCCUAGCAUUUAACUUGACUAAAAAUGUUUCACCACUACUCUUUUUUUCGGUUUUUUGUUUUGUUUUGUUUUUUUAAUUUCAGACAAAUAUAAUCAUGUUCCCUGGGUUUCAAAGUUUUGAAGUUAUAGUUCAUCUAAAGUACACUGAAAGUUAAUUUCCUCUUCCAUUUUCUAUUUCAGAAUUUCUUUUGAAAUGAAGCUUUGUACAUUUUAUCUUUUCAUCUACAUCCCGAGCUGAAGAAAUUUGAGGCAGAAUUGAGAACUAUCCUAAAAUAAACAAGCGUUUUCCUGAGCAUGCUUUGUUCUCUAUUUCACUGAGGCUGGAAACAACUCUGUGUGAAUGAGAUACAGUCAAAUGAACCUGUAUCUUUUAGCAGCCAGAAUUAAAAAGAAAGGAAAAUUACUAGUUAAGACAGUCCUUAGUUUAGAAUUUAGAUGGAGACAUGCACUGUAAAGAGGCAAAGAUUGUUUUCUCUAUUUUUUGUGGAGUAUUUGCUCAGUUGAUAAAUUUCAAGAACAUGUUGGUUAAAUUCCA